UUGGCUCUGGUUCCGGUUCUGGGCCAGAUGGAUAUCAGUGAUCCUCCCACUUUAUUAAUAAACCAGUGGCAUCAAAGGUGUUGACUGUUCACUCAUCAACUCUCACUCUCAGCCUUUUCAUCUCUGUUAAUGUCUGUGCUUGUCGGAGACAUGAGCGGGAUUCGUUCCAGUCCCCGCACACAGUACCUGCCGUACAACACUGGGAGGGAAGGAGGUUUGAUAACGGUUUGAAAAAUGUAAGAAUCUAAGAAAAACACGUAUAGAUUAAGUUGUUCCUGAUUUGACCACCGCAGCAGAGUGGCGCAGCGGAAGCGUGCUGGGCCCAUAACCCAGAGGUCGAUGGAUCGAAACCAUCCUCUGCUAACUGUUUUUGAACAUCCUCAGCCGGAGCAGAAGAGCGCGUUUCUGUAUGUGGUGCAGGUGUGUGAUCUGCCACUAGGGGGUGCACGGGAUAAGAACCAAAAACAACAAUACCGUCUAAAUAAAGCAAGUUUUUUAAAUUGACAUGUUAAUUGAAUAAAUAUUUUGAAGUCUGAUUCAACUGCCUUUAUAAGAAAGCGUAUUGCUGAUCUGAGGCAGGUGAUUGGUUCCUAAUCCUCCCUAAUCUGAUCCUGAUAUUCCCUGGUCUGGAUUGCUCCUCCCAGUCAAUCAGGUGACUCACCUGCUCACCUGUGUCACUCUGUCGGACUGUGUACUGGUUUGAGUCAGACGUGAUGGUCCGUUACUGGAGCCUCAGUCACUAUGUUGGACCACCUUAUGUAUCAGAUCAGAACCUUCCUUGAAUCCUUGAAUCCUUGAAGGACUUUGGAGAAUAUGGACAUCGUCCUGUUGUGAAUCACCAGACGAAACCAAACGGCUUCAGAGGAUCAACAGAUGCAGUUCCUGAUCCAACCAGAAGCUCCAGUUUGACAGCGUCGACGCUCGGCGUGUGGACGGCGCCCACACACGCUGCUGGUUCCAUUAAAGAACGUGACGAAACGAACUCUGGGAUCAUUAGCAGCGACCGCCCUCCGUGUAAAGCUGCCUGUGACCUUCUGUCGUUGGUGGAACAAACGUUAAUCAGAGAGGAUUUUUGGGACGGCCUUGAAUCAAUCUUGGUGAUCGACCUCAUGUGUAUAAAAUAUAUUUUA